rnacentral:rRNA from 1 species
AGGAAUAUUGGUCAAUGGACGUAAGUCUGAACCAGCCAAGUCGCGUGAGGGAAGACUGCCCUAUGGGUUGUAAACCUCUUUUAUAAGGGAAGAAUAAGUUCUACGUGUAGAAUGAUGCCUGUACCUUAUGAAUAAGCAUCGGCUAACUCCGUGCCAGCAGCCGCGGUAAUACGGAGGAUGCGAGCGUUAUCCGGAUUUAUUGGGUUUAAAGGGUGCGUAGGCGGUUUAUUAAGUUAGUGGUUAAAUAUUUGAGCUAAACUCAAUUGUGCCAUUAAUACUGGUAAACUGGAGUACAGACGAGGUAGGCGGAAUAAGUUAAGUAGCGGUGAAAUGCAUAGAUAUAACUUAGAACUCCGAUAGCGAAGGCAGCUUACCAGACUGUAACUGACGCUGAUGCACGAGAGCGUGGGUAGCGAACAGGAUUAGAUACCCUGGUAGUCCACGCCGUAAACGAUGCUCACUGGUUCUGUGCGAUAUAUUGUACGGGAUUAAGCGAAAGUAUUAAGUGAGCCACCUGGGGAGUACGUCGGCAACGAUGAAACUCAAAGGAAUUGACGGGGGCCCGCACAAGCGGAGGAACAUGUGGUUUAAUUCGAUGAUACGCGAGGAACCUUACCUGGGUUUAAAUGGGAAAUGCCGUAUUUGGAAACAGAUAUUCUCUUCGGAGCGUUUUUCAAGGUGCUGCAUGGUUGUCGUCAGCUCGUGCCGUGAGGUGUCGGGUUAAGUCCCAUAACGAGCGCAACCCUUACCGUUAGUUGCUAGCAUGUAAUGAUGAGCACUCUAACGGGACUGCCACCGUAAGGUGAGAGGAAGGCGGGGAUGACGUCAAAUCAGCACGGCCCUUACACCCAGGGCUACACACGUGUUACAAUGGCCGGUACAGAGGGCCGCUACCAGGUGACUGGAUGCCAAUCUCAAAAGCCGGUCGUAGUUCGGAUUGGAGUCUGUAACCCGACUCCAUGAAGUUGGAUUCGCUAGUAAUCGCGCAUCAGCCAU